rnacentral:rRNA from 1 species
AUUGAACGCUGGCGGCAGGCCUAACACAUGCAAGUCGAGCGGAUGAAGGGUGCUUGCUCCUGGAUUCAGCGGCGGACGGGUGAGUAAUGCCUAGGAAUCUGCCUGGUAGUGGGGGAUAACGUCCGGAAACGGGCGCUAAUACCGCAUACGUCCUGAGGGAGAAAGUGGGGGAUCUUCGGACCUCACGCUAUCAGAUGAGCCUAGGUCGGAUUAGCUAGUUGGUGGGGUAAAGGCCUACCAAGGCGACGAUCCGUAACUGGUCUGAGAGGAUGAUCAGUCACACUGGAACUGAGACGCGGUCCAGAGUCCUAGGGGAGGCAGCAGUGGGGAAUGUUGGACAAUGGGCGGAAGCCUGAUCCAGCGGUGCCGCGUGUGUGCAGAAGGUCUUCGGAUUGUAAAGCACUUUAAGUGGGGAGGAAGGGCAGUAAGUUGAUACCUUGCUGUUUUGACGGUACCAACAGAAUAAGCACCGGCUAACUACGUG